AAAAAAAAAUCUCCAAAACAAGGCUGCCCUAAUGUGGCCGAAUUUCUACAUCUUAUAAGGGUUUUUCACAACCUUUUCCCGACUUGACACUUUAGUCCCUGAAACUUUUGCUUGCUGCCGCGGUCCCACCGCGGUUACGCCAAGACCGCGGCCAGAAUGAUCAUCUGAAUCUUUUGUAAUGUUUUGCCGUUGUCCGAUCGUGGUUAUGGUCUGACAGCGGCAGACGAGGAUUAGUUUUGAUUUUGUCCCUUCACUUGGUACACUUCGUGGUUAUUAUUUGAUUGGCCUCCUUUUCUCCGAAAUUGAUCUCAAAAGUACUCCACCGACAUCUUUUAUCAGAUAUAGCCUGCAAAGCAUGAAAGCACUAAUCAGAGUAUUUGGUUAUCACUUUUUUCCAUAAAUCUAUACAAAAAUGUGGUUCUUUAGGGCACAAUUAUAGUCUAACUACAAGUUUGAUUGAACUGUUCACAUUGGCCAUCUAGAGAGAUUAUAUACAGUGUGCCGUUAAGGAGGAGAAAUCUUGAAUAGGAAAGAGGGGGAAAACCACCUAUUAUCAACACCCCACACUUAAAUCUUUGCUCGUACUCGAGAAAGUUGAACCACACUUCUAGGCCUAUUAGUUUGAUGCAUUAUCCAUUUUAUGUCACACCUGCUAUUAUAAAAGAACAACCUAAGCGGUGCAGCAGCCACACCUCAAAUGAAGACUCUAAUGUCAUGCUACAUUCAUGCUUACUCUAUGUACUCUAAACAGAAGUGAAGCCUUGCUUUUUCUUCUUGAGUUAAAUUCCCUCACGUUACAUUUUUCUGAGAGAAGUUCCACACACAUGACACCAAACAACAAGGAAGUGUAGAUAAAACGAAUUCCCUCACUCUCACAAAAGAACAUUCAUAUGCCACACAGAUACACCAUAAGCUUGCCCUUAGUGUAAUACUCUACUAAUUGAAUUGUUCAGUCUCAGAUCAAUAGGGCUUCAUUUCGUUGCAAUGUAGGCUGUGGAACGGGUAGGAUGCAUUUAGAUAUAAGAGUGACUACACCUUCCUAAGCACUUUAAUACAUAUAUUUUCUCAAUUAAACCUCAUCCUUAUGUCACUCCAAAAUUCCACCUUCACCUCAGUGUAACCACCCCAUUUUUCUUUAAGCACACUUGCAUCAAGAGCCACCACUUAUCGAGGAGUUUCUAUAUUUUUUUUAAGUGGCUCUUCCCUUUCAACACAGUGUAGUUGUAAUGUAGGUUGUGGGACGGGUAGGAUGCAUUUAGAUAUUAGAGUGAAUACACCUCCCUAAGCACUUUAAUACAUAUAUUUUCUCAAUUAAACCUAAUCCUUAUGUCACCCCAAAUUCCACCUUCACAUCAUUGUAACUACCCCUUUUUUUAAGCACACUUGUAUCAAGAACCACCACUUAUCGAGGAGUUUCUAUUUUUUUUAAGUGGCUCUUCCUUUUCAACACGAUUCACUUCUCUCUGUAUUCAACUGGUUCCACUCGAAAGCCAAACCGACCAUCCCACACUUUAACUUUUCAAGGUUUAUAAUAAUUCAAAUGCUCAUGAGAGGUGAACGGGUUAAAAUAGAUGGUCAAUUCAAACAUAUGGAUAAGAUUGUACUGUGGUUGCCAAAGAAAAAUAAUUAUAGGCUCAAAGCUGUUAACUAUGGUAAUAUGUACAGGUGGAUUCAUGAUUAUAUAGGUGACACAAAGAAAAGCUUAGAUCAUCUCUAGACCAAACAAAUUCUAUUUCGCUUUGCACACACACGGGGCAAGUUAUAGGUAUCGCAUACAAGCAUAGAAUAUGUGUAUUACCUCACACACACUUGGCAUGUUACUGAUUCCGAAUUAGUUCUUCAACUCAUUCACGUGAGCGUUCAAGUAAGACAAGGUGUGCACAAUUAAGGCAUAGGAUUAAGAGUCUACACGUGAGCCUAGACGUCGCACCCUCAAGUUCAUUUUAUGUAUUUGCAAGUAUGUACACCAUAGGAUGAAUUCUUGCCCUCACCCACCUUAGCCCAAAAGAGUCCUAAGGGUCCUAAUAUCUAUUAAAGAAAAAUCUACCUAACCCGGUUCAAGAAAAGCCCUUGGAAAAGAACCGUGUUCAUAAGAAAAACCAAGGGUGAAUUACUACACUACGUAAAUAGAAAAUAAAAUAAAUAAAAUAAAUUCUUUUUGGGUUAGACUACUUCCCUCAAGAAUACUGUCUAAGUGGUCCGUCAUCAGGAAGACUCUCCUACCUUUUCCAAAUUUUUUUUUAUAUCCGACCUUAGCCCUCAAGAAACCCGUCGACAAGUGUUCGUCAUUGGGCCAAGUCAGUGACGUCUAACAUAAAUACAAAAACACAAAACUACCACAUAUUUAAUGGCUAUCUAUACUACAAUACACACACUAAAUCAAGUCUCCUACCCCAUACAAAAAGAAUAUGGCAUGUCCCCA
rnacentral:lncRNA from 1 species